UGUUUCUGGAUGGUGACGGUGCUAGAUGGAUAAAGGAUCGUGGUUUGGAGCGUGGCUGGGGCACAGUGGGCUGAUUUGGAUCCUGCCUCCUCCAUCCAGCUGUGUAACCAGGGUGACGUUCAAAACAUUGAAUAACCGGAGCUUACCCAGGAGAGCGUUUACAAGUAGGACAAAGCCUGGAGGUCCAGGGGCCUCCCCAGCAGGAGUGGGGAGAAAACCGGGGCGGCAGGGAGAGGAGGAGGGGCGUCCUGCUUUGGGCGCAGACCCCGCCCCGCCUGGGUCACGGGCCUCCGAGGGCUGAAAGGGCCUCUGUGUUCCGUCCCCCGCCUGCCCCCGGGCCAAGAGCGCAUUUCCUCAGCUGCGCCAGACCCCGGAGGCUCCGCAGACCCUCUGGGGACAGACACAAAUAGUUCCCGGCCCAGCUGCCCGGCCAGUUACCUUGGGAACCAAACUCAAUCGCCUGACGUCACCGGGCCGUUGCGUAGCAACCGGCAGAGACUCUCCCUCCAGCUCUCCCCGCCUGCGCGGUGAGGUCGCCGUCGCCGAGGAGACUGCCGGACUGGGCAGGGCGGAGGAUGCCCCCGCCCGGCCACUCCGUCCCCGUCGCCCCUAGCCCGCCAGGCCGCGCCCUCUGUUCCGCCCCGGGGCGGCGGCCCCGAUCCCGGAACAGCUCCUCCCCGAGACGGAAGGGGACCAUCCUCGGCGGAGGAAACGGCGCCGCCUGGCCUCGGACCGGCUGGCGAGGGCCCCGGGGUGGCCUAAGCGCACCCCGCAGCCAGCCAGGAUUUCUCUCGCAGAGAGAGGCCUUUGUUCACCGUCACCCAUCUGACUGUCCCUUUUCAGUUCCAGUCUCGUUUCUCACCAGGCCCCAACCUGGGCUCCUGCUCUGGUUACAAGGAGCAGGUGGCAGCAUGGGGCGUUUCCACUCCCCUCCCUUCCAGUCGCCCAGGACAUCUCAGCCCCGCUUGGCCACCUGCCUUGGGGGAGGAGACUGCUCACGCCACUCUGCUCCGAUCCCUGGUUCCUCCUCCACUCCUGCGCCUUCCCGUGGCAUCUGUGCUGUGACAUUCACCUCUAUGCAUGUAGUGCCGGGUGUGGUUUGGCAAAGCCACCCCUGGGUGGUGGGCGUGGGGAGGGAGGGGCCUACCUGACCACUUCGCAUAGUUUCUGGCAUGGGUGUUCUGAGGCUGCUGCAUCUCCCUGCCCGUCUCUGUUUUACACCAUAGCUGCAUCCCAACACCCAGAAUCAUUCAGGGGCCCGCAGCCACCUGCCACCAGGCCCUUCCCCACCCAUCUUUGGCCAAGGGUAAUCCUAACUAUUACUUCUCGCUAGAGGACCUCAGUUGUCCUUAUUCACGUUCAGGGUGGUGGAGGCCGUCUGUAGGAGGUGUUUCUCCUCAUCAAAAACUGCUUUUGACAAGCACUAAUACAAUGCAGGUGAUCAGAAACAUAACCAGGUGUUUAGGUGAAUCCUAUUUUCUCAUUGAUCGAUGUUUAAAAUUCAGAGAUCCAAAGGAAUAAAUUUUAGUCUGUGGAACUGAAGGGAGAACACUUCAGAAUGCCUCAGAUCUUUCCAAGGCACAUUGUUAAGGAAAGUUCUGACUAUAGGCAGAAUAUUCACAGACAAGCUUAUGCAUGUGGUGGUGGACACUCCCCAGGGCUUCGAGCCCUAGGAUUGGGCUCUGUGUGGCCUUGUGCAAACAUCCAACCUCAUCUGGAGUCUUGGACUGGUUUUGUUUGAAAGACGACCUUUUAUCUACUGGGGAGCCUUCAGAUACAGGGCUAUGCCAUGUACAGUGGGAGACCCAGGGGAGCCAGGAGAGGACAAGUUGCCUGGCUCCCUCCUUCCCCUCUCUGAGAGGGGCGUGGCUCAGGGUGCUCAGAGCUGCUUGCUCAGAGAGGUACCAGGCACACUGGACGAGGGAGGCCUUUCCAACAUGUGAUCUAGGCCAGGCCAAGCGGAGUCCCUCCCCUUGGGAUUUAUCAGAUUGGAGCAGGGAAACAGACCUUUCCUCUUGGUCUUAGAAGUGCAAGCCUGUGGGCCUGAGCCUCCAGGAGCCACAUCCCCCACAAGGAGCAGAAGCCUGGAGGAGAGGCAGAGUUGCCAUGGGAGGUAGAGGACACAGCGAUGGAGGUACCCUGACAGCUUUGAGUCCCUGACACCAGGUGUCUCCAAAGCCAGUUCCUUCCCAGCCCUUUUCUGCCCAGUCCAUCAAUCUGUGGGGUUUUGUCAUUUCCAGUUAAGAGACUUCUGACCAAUAAUAGACAGUGCAGAAAACCCUCAGGAAGGAAGAAAACUGACAUUUGUUACACACCUACUGUUAAAUGCUUACUUGUUUCCUUCCUUCCUCUCUCUCUCUCUCUUUCUUUCAUGCAUUCUUGACCCUAGCAUCCCUGGGAGGUAUUUUAUAGAUGAAGAAAUGGAGAUUUGGCCCUCACCUAGGACCAUAGUGCAGGUUCAAAGGAUACAUCCCAUCCAGAGACUCCACGGCCAAGCCCUACCCUUGAAGGCCUUUGCCCUGGCUGGGUCCUUCUUAGAGGACGCUGGGCCUUCUGGAGCUGAGUCUUGGAGCACUGUUAUGCAAAUAUUGCCAUGAUGUUAGGCUCCAGCAGCUACUCCAGUUGGAAGGUGUUUGCCCUUCUGCCCUCCUGCCCUUGUUCCUAAAAGCUUCCUAGGGAUGUUUCCAGCCUGAGUCAGCUCAGCUGGUGGUAUCUCGGGUUAUGUUCUGAACCCCUGUGACAUAAUAAGAAAUAUAUAUUGAUUUCUGCCCCUGAUUCCUGGCACAGAGUUUCUAAAACCCUUGGAAUUUCUUGAAUGGUAGGGGUGAGAGAAGCCUCUUUUGUUAUUCAUAAUAAGCCCUUUUCAACCAUACCUGAGUUGUACUAGGAAGGGACUCUUGGAGGAAGUCACCAGAGGAACCACCAUGGGAUUAGAGGGUUGGAACUUAAGCCCCACUCCCACCUCUGGGGCAAGGAGAGGGCCUGGAGAUGGCGUUAAUCACCAGUGGCCUAUGAUUUAUUUCAUCAGUCAUGCCUACAUAAUGAAACUUUUAUAAACCCCCUAAACAAUGGGGUGCAGUUUACUUGUGGGUUGGUGAAUGCAUUGGUGAAUGCAUCCAUGUGCCAGGAGGGCGUUCUAUCCCAGCUCCACAGAAACAGAAGGUCCUGUGCUCCAGCUCUUUCUGGACCUCACCAUUGUACCUCUUCAUCUGUAUCCUUUAUAAUAUCCUUUAUAAUAAACUGGCAACUGUGAGUUU